ensembl:lncRNA
CGUCUUGUCUACGUCAUUUUUUUUACCUAGGGAAUUGAGAAUCCUGGUUUCUGACUACCUAGGUAAAUGAGAAUCCUGGUUUUUGACAACCUAGGUAACUAGAAACUCUGGGUUUUUGUUUCCUGGGUUUUUGGAAAUGCCUGGGUUCUGAUUUUAUGUGUAAAUUAAAACCCCUGGUUUCAAUUCUAUGGGUAAGUGAAAUAGGCCUUUUCUGGAAACCUAUGGGUUAUCUAGUGUGUAAAUACAGUAUAAAUACUGGAGCUUAAGCUCAGGGUGUCAGAUCACUUCUGAGAAUUCUCAUCGGUGUG